GUAAAAUUAUGGAAUAUUCAUAUGUCCUUUAGUUCUGUUAAAAAAAAUAUAUUGCUAUACUAUAAGUAUCAAGACUAAAAUAAUAAACUUUCUUACUUCGGUUGGAGGAGAUGAGAAACAACUUACAGCUGAUGGCCAAAGAAGUAUGUUUUUCAUAAUCAAUUUAUGGAAGGAAACAAAAACGUCCUGCAAGGUCGUUAUAGAGUUACGUUUAAUCAUUUAUCGUUGUAUUCGUUCGAUUCGAAAUCGCUACUAAAAAAAAGAUUUACAGCUUUCUGGCGACGUUCAUUAAUAGAAGAUUACGGAAGAAAAAUAGAACCAUAACUGAGCAACGACCAAUACUGAGCAAUAAAAUAAGUAUCGACAAAAUAAUAAAAGUCGAUGCCCACUAUCUGGUAGUGAGAGUGUAAUACAGUAGUUUAUAAAUAUAUAUAUAAACAUAUAUUUUGUGCCUGUAUUUAAAUGGCAUUGAUUUUAUUUUGUUAUAUUUUGGUUCUGGAGAACUC